GGCUUUGGGAGAGUCCUGGCUGGAGGGGUUGCUCUGGAGUUCUUUCUAAAUGGGAAACCCACUUGCUUUGUCUCCACCUGUUAUGCCUGAAGCUUCUGGAAGACAAGAUCAAUCCAGCUAUGGACCUUGCUGCCCAACAGCUAGCACAACCCUGAAUGUUGUCACUGGCAGGAGGUAUCUGGUGAAUGAGGAGUCAGCAUGGUUCUGCUGUAGCCCUAGCUCCAGAUGCUGGGAAAUGCUGUGUCCCUUCCAGGAACUAUGGGUGUGGCAAAGCACAGUGGCACUCUAUCUGAUUCACCUUUUCCUACUUCUGAUGUGGACUUCAGCUGAAGUGAGGGGAAGCUUCAGAGUCUCCUGAAGAGGCCGAAGAGUUUGAAAGAAGGAUUUUGUUGUCUUCUCCCUUCUUCCUCCUCUCUCUCCUCUCCCCCUUCCCCCUCUCCCAUCAGGCCAACAGCUCAAUAACACAGUUAAUAGAUGUGCAAGAAGUAAGUGGGCUGUGGAGGACCGACAAUCAGUUUGGCUGUGUUCUCCCCUAACCAACAAGGCCAUUUCCAGAUGGCAUUUUAGCAUUGUUUCCUUCCCGCACAGCAGCGGUUCUCAACAUGUGGGUCGCAACGCCCACAAGGGUUGCAUAUCAGAUAUUUACACUGCAACUCAUAACAGUAGCAAAAUUACAGUUAUGAAGUGGCAAUGAAAUCAUGUUAUGGUUGGGGGUCACCACAACAUAAGGAACUGUAUUAAAGGCCGCAGCAUUAGAAAGAUUGAAAACUAUUUCUGUAGAGAUGCCAAGACUGAAGAAAACCUUCUUUAUUGAAGUUCAGAGUUGUUGGGAUCUGUGUUAAUAUAAGUAUAGACUGUGCAUUGUACACAAAUUUGUCAAAGAUGAUUUUUUUGUUUUAUGCUUGAGUAGGUAAAAUAUACCUUAUGUGCUUGGUAGUUUUCCUAGUUUUAUUUCUUUAUGUCUAUAGCCAAGAUUUUCAGGGCAUCUUCCCCGAUCAAACCCGAUCCAUAUUAACCUGAUCCAUAUAACCUCUCCCCCAAAGUAACAUAGUUUUUUACUUCCAUUUUGAAGUCAAGACAUUUUUAAAAUAUAUAGGUUAGUUUAAUCCGGCAGUUUUCAUAAUCCAAUGUGUCUUAGCAGCUGUUGUUCCUCCAUUAACAAUCAGAAAAUCUAAAGAUAACAUAAUAACAUGUGGGAUCCAGACUCUGUGCAUUUCCAAUCUUUAUGUGGCUUAUUAUUUAAUUUUACUUUACUCCUUUUUUAAAGAACUUUAUUAUUUUUAAAUUAUUUUUUAAUCUAUGACUGUAUGUAUCCUUUCUCUUUUUUUCUACCAAACCUAUGCACAUCUUUAAACACACUGUAACUCAUUUAGAGUUUUUUUUUCCUCUGUCUGAAUCUGUCUUACUGGGCAUCUGUACUGUUCUUUGAUCUAAUAAGACAAAUCUUAAACUGCUAUGUUAGUCACCAGCAUGGCUCAGCUUAGAGUAUGCAUUGGUGCAUGGCAUUGGUAGCAGGCUCCUCUUCCCUUGCUUCCCUGAGAGCUUAGCCUCAGGAGGUACUGACAGCAGCUAUGUUUACUGCUCCAGUUUUGGGAAGUUGUUGGGUCCAUGCUGUCACCAAGUAGCACAUUGCCCACUGCUCAUAAACCCCAUUUGAGUGUUUGGAAUCAGGGCCUCUUAAAGAAACCACACCUGUGAUUGCCACUAUCAUUGAGUCAAGAAAGCCAGCUCUUAAAGGAGCCACGCCUCCAUUUGUCACUAUUAUCAAGCCUGCCUGAGAACAGACAGUUAUCAGGAAGCCACAUUUGGCUCCAUUUCUGUGUGCUUAGAG
ensembl:lincRNA